rnacentral:lncRNA from 1 species
GGACGAAUUUAUCACAGCAACAAUUGAUACUCAUCCCUGAUGUGCUCCCCGCAGGAGCUGGAUUUGAAAAGGGAAUGCCUGGAGCGGGCGGACAAUCGGACUGCUAUCAUGAAAAAGGAAAGUAUGAAUCUGAAAAACAAGAUGGAUGCUGCCAACCUCUUCAUUUUGGCUUUGAAGAAAACAGCUGCAAGAUGCCCAGAACGAAAAGGAUGGUUUAAUUAAAGAGAUAGCAGAUUUGAGAAAAACGAUCGAAAACAAGGAUAAAUGUGUUGAGCAGCUGGUAGCUGAGUCGAAUGAAUUUAAAUUUCGAAUUGUGGAGAGUGAAAAAAUAGCCGGUGGUUUGUCCGCGGAGCUUCAAGUCUACAAACGGAAGCACGAAGAGUUGACUAGAGACAAUCGUGCAUUACGCGGAAAAAUUUCAAGGCUGGAAAGUUUGAACGCAGAUUUGGAGACAAAGCUUGAGAAAGAAGACGAGGAACGAAAAAUGUACCAGGAACAGAGUCUCAAACAUGCGCUCGAGGUGGCAGAGCUACGAAUGACUUUGGAAACUCUUCGACACACCGACAAACUUUGGCUGGCAAGAGUUUUGCAAACUUUAAAUUCAAUUUUGAAAGUUCCCGUCAAGCUGAUUCUUUACACAUCCUUCCCGUUCCCGCUGUCGAGAAGCCAGUAAAGCAAGGAAUGCCGUUCAUAACACGGCCCCACGGCCCUUGCACGCGCUUCAUUCAUGAGGUCACCACGUGCAACAGCAUCUGUAUGCCGCGACCUAGUUUUGUAAAGCAAAAUGUGUUUAUUUGUAAGCUUUUCAUAAUUACUUAUGCAACUGGUUAGCGAUGGGCCGAUUACACUGGUCACCACGGAAAAAACUAAAUUGCUGAUUUAACAAUUCAAUUGCUAAAAAAAAGUGACUGCAAUGUUUCAAUGUGAAUUGUACAACAACAAAAAUGCUACUUUGCCACCCCGUGGUUAAAUUAGCUUACAAUAGUGGUUGAAGUAGCAUUUUUUUGUUGUGUUAAAAUAUUGCAGUCACUUUUUUUAGCAAUUGAGUUGUUAAAUCAGCAAUUAAAUUUUUUCCGCGCAGAAUCGUGUUUUGAUGCUUGAUUCUUGUAGAUUAGGUAAUAAAAUCUGUCCAAACAGCGACUUUCUUCGUUGAAUAUUGACCGAGAUAUCGCGCCUUAAAAAACUCGAUUUGCGACGUCAUCAACCGAGGUUGUGCAUAACAUGGUGUGUGCCACCCCGGUGGAUGACGUCAUAAAUCGAGUUUUUUAAGGCGCGAUAUCUUCAAAGUAGAAAGUUGCUGUUUGGACGGAUCUUAUUAUUUUUAGCAGAUCUACAAGAAUGUGGCAUCAAAAUACAAUUCCGUGACCGGCGCAACUGACCCAUUGAUUUGAAAUAGAGAAAUUUUACUUCUAUCCAUUUGACUGUACUCUGACUGUGUAUACUGAGAAUUUAAUAUUAGUAGCUCUCUUCAUAAGGAGGAGGCCGUAAGCAGCAAUAAAACAAGACGAAACCUUAGCAAAUCCACGUUUGCCUUUCAAAUUGAUGAUUUCAGUCGGUAAAUGCGUGCCUCAGUUGGAACGUUUGCCAAACUUCGAUAUUCUCCUUCGAAUGAAAACAAGCAAAAUAAUCCCCUAGCAUUUUACGGAAAAUUUAUUGGAAGAGGGAAAAAAAUUCACGGACGGAUUAUGAGAAAAAGCUUGAGAGAAAGGGUGGGGUGGCGCAAGAGUUACGGAGUUUGGACAAUUAAAAAUAAAUAAAAUAAAAAAAAGAAGGAAAAAAAAUCGGAAAAAACGCGUUAAAAUCUGAGAUGCACAUUUUUCGACUUUAACCAUCGUCACACAAAAGCCUAUAAAACGAAAUUUUAGAGAGUCAGGGAGAGACAUAAUCAUGGCACUUAAACAAAUUCUCAGAUAUCAUAGGAAUGAAUUCAAGUUGUUAAACGUAAGAUACGCCCUUAGGAAGGGUUUAUAUAAGGAUUUUCAAAUUAAUGGGUAGUUAUUUGUCCAAUUUGUACGAAAGUCUGUAAUUAUGACGAAUAAAUAUUGAAAACUGUUAAAAUUCAC